rnacentral:pre_miRNA from 1 species
AAAAAGGCAAACCCUGAGUUUCCAUGUCCAACGUUUGACUAUCCGUCUUAUAUGAAAUUUUUUUAUAAUUAGUAUUUUCAUUAUUGUUAGAUGAUAAAACAUGAUUAAUACUUUAUGCGUGACUUAUCUUUUUAAUUUUUUUUAUAAUUUUAUCAAAUAAAACGGACGGUCAAACGUUGGACAUGGAAAUUCAGGGGUUGCUUUUUUU